CUUUGAUUUGGCAAUCAAUGAUGCUUACAUUAUUCACAAAGCUACAUACAAAAGCAAGGGGCUCGUUCCAUUGAAUUUGUUAGAAUUUUGUAUUAAACUUUGUCAUACACUUCUUGACAAUUAUCAAGGGAGACAAAGGAGAUCUAGAGGUAUUGAGAGACAACAAUAGGUACCUUCCAUUGAAUAUCACAUUUGAAAAGCUACCGAGGUAGGGUGAAAGAGAGGUAGGUGUCACUGUAUUAGCACAAAGCCAGAAGGUCAACGUAGUUAUACUUCUUUUGCAUGUUCAUGUUGCCAUGUUCUCUUAUUUAGGUCAGGUUGUUUCGAAGACUAUCACAGGUCCCAAUGAAGGUUUUUGUAGUGAUUUUUCAUAAGCAUUGUUAUCUUAUUCUUGUCAAGUUUCGUUUCUAGGUCAUACUGUAGUGAGGACUUUCACCACUUUGGAGAGUAUUUAGCAAUAAUUUAGGAGAUAGCAGAGCAUUGGUAGUGGUUGGAGUCAUUUGGACUAGACAGGUCUCCAUUUAACUCAUUACCUGACAAUUUGUUUUAGAACUACAAAAAGAGCAAACACGUGUGUUUUACAGGAAACCACACCUAAACCACACCAUCUUGGCAGAAAUUGGAAGCAGCUGGGCCAAGACUGAUGACACUUUUCUUUUUUA